UUGUUUUGAUUAAUUUAAGGGUUUCCGCUCCACCGCUUUCACCAUAUUCUCGAUUGUUCUUCACCCUCUCAUAUUCUCUUCAUUCUUCCUUUUGGGAUAGUCACGUUUAGUCCACCGACUUACUAUCCAACCAGUCGAUCUGCUUCUUCUUGAUCCUUCAGCACCGCCUUCGCAUCAAGUUAGCCUUUCCUUGCAUUUGUGUUUCUAUUUGUUAGCUAUGUACCUCCGCCACCCUUUUCAUUUUUGGUCCAGACGACUGAAGAGGACUUUGGAGCAGGUAAGCUUCCUCCCAACGGAUACAUGGCGAGAAAGUCUCCUUUUUUCCUCUCUCGCAUCUUCUACACUUUCUCUUCUUCCCACAACUUCUUUUUUAUUAAAUUAACUGAGUUGGGUUUCUUCCACACAACAAGACCGCCAUGAACGAUCGACCCUUUCGAGGAAUUGUCGUCGUGUGUGCCACAAUCUGGAUUUUCAGGCUUCUGCUGAAGCCCUCGCCGGUAAGAUUUUCCAUCUGAAGGGUCGAUUCAUAGAAGGUUGUCGCUUCUUCCCUAUUUUUCUUGAUUUUUCAUCUAUGAUCCUUGAUUUUCAGCUGUUGAUUCCUUCAAUCAGGUGAAUCUUCUCUAUGACAGCUUAGUUGAGUUUUGUACACCACAGAUUUGGCCGACUGUUUUUUUUUUUUUUUUUUUUAAAUAUUUUCAUUAUAUCUCCACAUAUGAUGCUUUAUGACGUCUGAGAGUCAAUUUUUUUUCCCAAGGUAAUAUCACAUUUUUCUUGAAUUUCUUUGGUUUCUUGCACACAAGCUGUUUGAUGCAUUGUCUGUAUGUGUGUUCUAAUGCAACUGUCAUAUGAGCGCCAUGAAUGAAACUCCCAAGUAGAAAUUGCACAUACUCACUCUUCCUAACGGUCUCUGUGUUUGCCGCCGAGUCUAAUCUAGCCUCCCAGACGGCUGCCGUUGGGGUAUGGAUUGAUGCAGGGUCAUAAUUUCAGAUGGAAGGGAACAAUGGGGUUGCUCAGAUAUAUUGCAUUGCAGAACUCGACUUUUGAUGAAACAUUGAUCAAUCGUGAGCGUGGUAUGAUUCUACAUAAGACGGAAGAGAUGAGAGCACAAACAGAAGAAGUAAUCUUUGAUCAUUUGCAUUCUACUGCUUUCCAAUACACCCCCCUUGGAAGGACCAUUCUUGGACCUGCUGAAAACAUCCAAAAGAUAACUUAAGAUUACAUUUCAACCCACUAUGAAGCUUACAGAAUGUUGUUGGCUGCAAAGAAUUAAUGACACUAUCAUGGAGAUGAGGUACCAUAAUACAUGGUCUUAAAGACAUGAGGAACCAAGACUUACAACCGAUGAUUGCAAACAGAGAAUGAACAAAAAAAAUCACUGGUGGUAAAUAAAGUAUUUGGAACUGAUGACACAAAUGUUCAAAAAGUUACACUUGCCGAGGCUAUCUCUAGCAACGGUCAGCAAAACAAAAGGCUCAGUUUUAAUUUUGGAUUUAUGUUUUAAUUGAACUGGGGAUUUAAUUCAAAUUACAAGUGACUAUAUCGACCCUCUCUGCAGCCGGUACUUCAAGGAACUAAAAGUGUGGGGGAAUGGUGCAUCAACAUUGUUGCACAUAGCGUUUCAUGAAUGUGAAUCAUAUGGGGGCUAACUACUAUAAGAGGGUUGAUCAAGGAAAAUCUCCAAGGACUGUCAUUUGGAUCAUUUCAUUGGUGUUGAGUGGUGGAGCAUAUCAUAUCUGCAAAUAUAGAUUAAUGGAAUUCUUUAAAUUGAAAUUUUGAUGGGUUUCACCAUACCUAGGGGAGGGUAGAAGAAAUUCAGUUCCUUACUUCGAAUUGUUUUUUCUUCUGUGCCAAUAAGGAUCAGGUUGCUUUCCACCGCUUCUUCUUACUCUCUUCCGAUUAAAAAUCCCUAAAACCACCGCACUUCCCCAUUUCUUCUCCUCAUGUCUUUUCCAGCCCUAAAUUUGUUGACGGAAUAUCUGUCGAUUUUAUAGAUCGUUCUUCCAUCGAAGUCGACACAUAAACCCGUUUUCCCUCUUAUCCCAUCAAAUAUCUCUCUCCGUCGAUUAUUUAUUGAUUUUUGCUUCGUUGAUGAAAAUACAAAUCGAUUUACCUAUGGUUGAUUGACAAUUGGGCGCUCCCUUCGCCAGCCUACUAGCGACGUCUACCAUGUUCACGUGAAUGUAUUAUGCUUCCAAGAACAUCGGCCAUUGAGUUUCUCCCCCAAAAUUAAUCAAACCUCGCUUUCCAGUUUUUUCUUUCGUACCUUUCUACCUUGAUAAUCGAUUCGUAAGCCCUAAUCGGUUGAACUCUUUCUCCGAUUUGAAGUUCGUGAAUUUUAGAGGUGUAGGAGCAUGGAUGGAUAAAAGGGUUAAGGACUUAAGGGUAAAGAUAGAGCUUUAUGUGCAACAUCCCAAUGAUGAGGUACUUUCUAGUUUUGUGAGCAUAAUUGCAAAUUUUAAGGAGACUAACGGAGCGGGAUCUUUGGGAGGCGAUUGAACUUGGAGGUCAAUAAAGAUUUUGGGCUUAAUAACUAGUGGAGGUAGAGUGGGCUAUUGAUGGAUGGAGCAUUGAAGAAGAUGGUCUCUUAGUUAAAAGAGGAUGGAAGAAUUUUUUGAGCGUGUGAAGAUUAAUGAUCGGUCGAUUGCGCGAGCUAUGGAUCAUUUGGAGAAGCCACCUUAGGCUUAAACUAAGGAGAACUUGAAGAAGAAUAGGAUAGAAGCUGAUCAGACUCAAAUUGGGCCAGUGGCCUAAGCUGUGAAGGCCCAAAACUCAGAAAAACCCACAAUCAAACCCACCUGCAUAGGGCUGCAUGGCGUCGCACGAUACUGCAUGGGUAAUUUCAGAAUCUCAUUUGAAAGGCUAUUAGAGGAAGGUUGGUGUGCAUCUUUUGCAAACUAUUGCACAUCCGAAAAUACAUCAUUUCUCUGGAGAUUUUGGAGCAUUUUGAAGACCAAGAAUACCUCAUGGACUUCAUCUUUUUGCUCUUGAUUCUUGUUAAAUGUUUGGUACAAUCUAACCUUACUUUCUUUUCUUGAGUUUACCCAUGUUAGGCUAGACUAAACUUGGUUGAAUUUAGUGAAAUCUUUUGGAUAUUUGUUGAAUGUUGAAAACUCCAUGAACUUGUUCUUGAAUCUUUAUGAGAAUGUUUUGUGUUAUAACA